UACCAAUUCAUUUCAACACAAUACAUUUUUUCAUUGUUCUUAACUCUAUCAAUUGGUCUGACGUGCCAGAUCCAAAAAUCAGAUGGGAAAAUCACAUAGCAAACAUAUAGAGGAACGAGGCAGAGGAAAAGGUCAACCAUGGGGGACAAGAUAUUAUAGCAAUUAGAUAGGAUUGAAGGACUAGUGAGGUAGCUCAUAGCCAUGGAAGGCAGGGGUACCCAACUCAUUCCAAUACCCAACACCCACGACUCACCCAUCGGCAUUGAUAAUUCACAACUCAAAGCAAACAAGAUCAAGCAUCCUAGUUUAAACAAUCAAGAGCUUACUGAAAUGGUACUAAAUGAGCUCAAGUUGGUAGUUAACAAUGUUGAGUUACUGCAACAAUUCGAUGAAGCUAGCUGUUGCAAAUCCGAGGAGAAGCGUGUUGGUGAUGAUCAUAAAGAAUUAGUGAUAAAGAGUGUUCAAGGAUUCGGUUUUAAAUCAAAGCAAGGGAUUGAGUUCUCAGCGAAACACGGCUUGUGUUCUUCCAUGCCAGAAUCGCGCAAAGACUCAAGGGAACGGUCUCCAUUAUUCGACAGACGAAAUUGCUCGAUAAGAUUCACUAGAGAAAGAGAAUGAGUUCUUUUGGCGGUAGAGCAGGCGAGAACUUUACGUCCUCUGUUUGGGAAGUCUGUGUGUGGAACAUGAAAGAUGGUGGUAUUUUUAAAUGAACUUGGUGACAAAGUUUGAUGGAGGUUCAAUCUCCACAACAACGCUAGUGUUGGAGCUCAUUGAUGCUCACGAUAAGGGCAUUUUGAUUGCUGAAUUACAAGAGGAUACGGGGGGGGGGCUUUCUAAUGAAUAUGGCUUGGAUUUUGUGAUAUUGGGAUCACGUGAGGACUUCAAGGCAUAGAUGUGGUUGCAACACACCAAAGGUGCAAAUCACAUGAUGGAAGAGGUAGAGAGUAAACGAGAAUUUCAUCUUCCUAUGCAGGUGGAAGAUUUUUCGCCAUUUGUGUCUGUAGAGAGGUUAAGGAAGAUGAGAAAACAAUGGGUUGGGAUCAAAGGCAAUGGUAAGAGAGACAAGCCCAAGUUCACUAACAGGCCCAAAUCUUGAACUUAGAAUCUUUGGAUCAUUAAAAUUAUUGUACCACUUUGUUAGACCGCCUUAGGAAAAUGCCAGGCCACACUAUUUUCAUGGCCAUAAUAUUUUUCUUAUCUUUGUCUAUAGUAUUCAAUUACUUGAAUGGAUGGAGAAUGAGAUAUUCUUGGUGCUAAGCUUUGAAAUUGAUUUGGUGG
rnacentral:misc_RNA from 1 species